rnacentral:rRNA from 1 species
GCUUUACUGUAACUUGAAAUUGGUUUCGGGUUUUAUUUGCGCAGUAUAGGUGGGAGGCUAAGAUAAUAAAUUUGCGGAUUUGUUGGAGCCGUUAGUGAGAUACCACUCUAAUAAAACUAGAACUCUAACCUUGUAAGCCGUUACCCGGCCAAGAGACAGUUUCAGGCGGGCAGUUUGACUGGGGCGGUCGCCUCCUAAAAAGUAACGGAGGCGUGCAAAGGUUCCUUCAGGCUGGUUGGAAAUCAGUCGUAGAGUGCAAAGACAUAAGGGAGCUUGACUGUAAGACCUACAAGUCGAACAGAGACGAAAGUCGGCCUUAGUGAUCCGACAGUUCCGAGUGGAAGGGCUGUCGCUCAACGGAUAAAAGUUA